GGAUGAUUGAUCGUGCCCGCCAGCUGCCUAAUAUCAUAAUUAACGAAGUUGCUACCGUGUCUGAGAAGUUUAAUCGAAAAAAAUUGCCAGCAGGAUGAUGCCAUUGUUGACCACAAAGAUCACAAGCAUGGCAGAGUCGACUUUUGGUCUAAUGGAGCUACAGAACUAUGUGGGCAGAAUGAGAAGAAGGGCAGAUGCGUGGCUGAU
rnacentral:lncRNA from 1 species